UUGCUCACAAAGUGGUUGUAAUAUGCUGACGUAACGAUGUUCAUAUCACAGCCAGCUUUGAUGAGCGUUG
rnacentral:pre_miRNA from 1 species